UACGGAGGGUGCGAGCGUUGUCCGGAAUCACUGGGCGUAAAGGGCGCGUAGGCGGCAGGCCAAGCGUGCGGUGAAAGUCCGGGGCUCAACCCCGGAUCGGCCGUGCGGACUGGUUUGCUAGAGCACUGUAGAGGCGAGUGGAAUUCCGGGUGUAGCGGUGGAAUGCGUAGAGAUCCGGAAGAACACCGGUGGCGAAGGCGGCUCGCUGGGCAGUGGCUGACGCUGAGACGCGAAAGCGUGGGGAGCGAACAGG
rnacentral:rRNA from 1 species